rnacentral:lncRNA from 1 species
CCCCAUCUAGACCCCAAUCGGACCAGCCCCCACCAGAUCUCUCUUUGUUCUUGCCGUGCCUCACUGGAUUCGAUCGCCGGUGGGCGGGCCUCAAACUGUUGAUGACUAGAUCCGAUCACCAUUUUUUUACCUUUUCCUUUUUCCUCUAUUUGCGCUGCUGUUUCUCCUCCGGGAAGAGCUUCGGCGAGGUUUUCCCUCGUAGAUUUACCGCAAAUUCUGCAUAAAAGACUCGCUGCUCUGGCGCUUCAUCGCCGUCGAAGUAGCGGUAUUGGUUGGUGC